AACGCUAGCUACAGGCUUAACACAUGCAAGUCGAGGGGCAGCACAGUGUAGCAAUACAUGGGCGGCGACCGGCGCACGGGUGCGUAACGCGUAUCCAACCUUCCCGUUACUCAGGGAUAGCCUUCCGAAAGGGAGAUUAAUACCUGAUGGUGUUUGAAUUCCGCAUGUUAUUCAAACUAAAGAUUUAUCGGUAACGGAUGGGGAUGCGUGACAUUAGAUAGUAGGCGGGGUAACGGCCCACCUAGUCUACGAUGUCUAGGGGUUCUGAGAGGAAGGUCCCCCACACUGGAACUGAGACACGGUCCAGACUCCUACGGGAGGCAGCAGUGAGGAAUAUUGGUCAAUGGUCGGAAGACUGAACCAGCCAAGUAGCGUGAAGGAUGAAGGUUCUAUGGAUUGUAAACUUCUUUUAUACGGGAAUAAAACCUCCCACGUGUGGGAGCUUGUAUGUACCGUAUGAAUAAGCAUCGGCUAACUCCGUGCCAGCAGCCGCGGUAAUACGGAGGAUGCGAGCGUUAUCCGGAUUUAUUGGGUUUAAAGGGAGCGUAGACGGGAGAUUAAGUCAGUUGUGAAAGGCUGCGGCUCAACCGCAGCACUGCAGUUGAUACUGGUUUCCUUGAGUGCGGUUGAGGUGUAUGGAAUUCGUGGUGUAGCGGUGAAAUGCUUAGAUAUCACGAAGAACUCCGAUUG
rnacentral:rRNA from 1 species